AAUGAACGUUGGCGGCGUGGAUUAGGCAUGCAAGUCGCGCGCGUAGCAAUACGAGCGGCGAAAGGGACAGUAAUAUGUAGGUCAUCUGCCCUCGGGACGGGGAUAGCCACGGGAAACUGUGGGUAAUACCCGAUGACGUCUUCGGACCAAAGGUGUGAGUCCGCCCGGGGAUGAGCCUACAUCCUAUUAGCUUGUUGGCGGGGUAAUGGCCCACCAAGGCUUCGAUGGGUAGCGGGUGUGAGAGCACGACCCGCGUCAUUGGGACUGAGACACUGCCCAGACACCUACGGGAGGCAG
rnacentral:rRNA from 1 species